rnacentral:misc_RNA from 1 species
UUGUGGAGGAGGACGCCGAAGGUGGGGCUAAUGACUGGGGUGAAGUCGUAACAAGGUAGCCGUACCGGAAGGUGCGGCUGGAUCACCUCCCAACAGGGAGACAACAAAAUGUAAAUAUUAAUUUUGUCACCUUAGGUCGAUCGGUAUCUCAGAUUCUUAUUAUUUAAGAAUUUCAGUUUCUAAGUUUUUUCUAGGUCACACCCAUCACUUUUUCCUGGGCCAUUAGCUCAGGUGGUUAGAGCGCACCCCUGAUAAGGGUGAGGUCCCUGGUUCAAGUCCAGGAUGGCCCAUAUCUCUAUGUUGGGGGUAUAGCUCAGUUGGUAGAGCGCCUGCUUUGCAAGCAGGAUGUCAGCGGUUCGAGUCCGCUUACCUCCACUGAAUACCACCUCUUACAUAUAGUUGAAGUGGGAAAUUGUUUUGAGUCGUGUCCUAAUUUGCUCUGAGCGAAUCUAGCUUCCUAUUUUAUCCAAGAAAUAAGAUGCUGGACUCAUUGAAUUUUUUUUCAUUGUUUUCAGAGAACCUUGACAACUGCAUAGAUUAUUUUUAAAGACAAUAAGCAUCUUUAAUGAUGCAGAUUUAUUAUUUGUGCGAAUGCAUUAAAUAACAAUUCUAUUAAGCUGAUGCUUCAAUUAUUGAAGUUAUUGGUCAAGCUACAA